rnacentral:rRNA from 1 species
CAUAACCUACGGGGGGCAGCAUUGAGGAAUAUUGGUCAAUGGGCGGGAGCCUGAACCAGCCAAGCCGCGUGAGGGAAGAAGGUACAGCGUAUCGUAAACCUCUUUUGUCAGGGACCAAAGGCGGGGACUAGUCCCCGGAUGAGGGUACCUGAAGAAAAAGCAUCGGCUAACUCCGUGCCAGCAGCCGCGGGAAUACGGAGGAAGCGAGCGUUAUCCGGAUUUAUUGGGUUUAAAG